UUUUCGCUUUGUAAACCCUUCUAAAUUCUCCAUGAUGUCUCUCACACUCAAUAGAUUUGAAUAAAAAUAUUAUCUCAUCGCUAUAGUCUCUGUGUAAUACAUGUACAAAUCAGAGGAAAAUAAAGAAGUUAAAAGACAAACACAUUGAAUUCUGACCCGAAAUUCUUUUUAUGGGAAAAUCGCUUCCCAAUAAUAAAACCAGACUAUACCAACUCACAAAGACAGCAUCACAACUCCUGAACAAAACUCAAACAAAACCCACUCCCUCCACACCCCAAACUCGACGAGUACUGGGAGCGGAAAUCCGGCACAACAACAUCAACAGCAAGUGCAAGAACAUGGAGAGCACCAGCGAGCCGAAUAUCAACAACGGUAACGAGAACACGCGCGUGCCGUUAUCGGAAGUUGUCUCGGAUUGUGUGAAGCGUUGGUUUAAAGACACGCUUAAAGAAGCCAAAGCUGGUGACAUCAACAUGCAGGUGUUGGUGGGGCAGAUGUAUUAUAGCGGUUAUGGUGUUGCAAGAGACACCCAGAAGGGAAGAGUGUGGAUGACAAGAGCAUCGAGGACUCGAGCCUCAGUUUGGAGAGUUAGUGAUAAGCAUCCAGGUUAUAACGCGAGUGAUUCGGAUUCAGAUGAGUUGAAAGGAGAAUCUUAAAUACUGAAUUAGGCUUCAUGUCCAAAACAAUUGAUAACUCAAUUAAUGGGAUCUUUUUGAACUGUUUCAACUUCUUAUAUAGCCUAAGGGUGGAUUUGUGCUCUGCCGACUACCGGUUCUUCAACAUCUUAAAUGUGCCUGUAACAUUCUUUUUCUUUCCUGACGCUUUUUUUAGUUUGUUUGUUUUUACCAUAUGUAACUUUGUAAACAAUCUCAUCAUUAUCAUAAAAUAAUGUUAAUUGUACUUUUACAGGCAACAACAUUUUGUGGUUUAAA